rnacentral:rRNA from 1 species
AUUGAACGCUGGCGGCAUGCUUUACACAUGCAAGUCGAACGGCAGCGCGGGCUUCGGCCUGGCGGCGAGUGGCGAACGGGUGAGUAAUGCAUCGGAACGUGCCCAGUAGUGGGGGAUAGCCCGGCGAAAGCCGGAUUAAUACCGCAUACGACCUGAGGGUGAAAGCGGGGGACCGAAAGGCCUCGCGCUAUUGGAGCGGCCGAUGUCGGAUUAGCUAGUUGGUGGGGUAAAGGCUUACCAAGGCGACGAUCCGUAGCUGGUCUGAGAGGACGACCAGCCACAUGGGGACUGGGACAGGGACAAGACUCCUACGGGAGGCAGCAGUGGGGAAUUUUGGACAAUGGGGGGAACCCUGAUCCAGUCAUGCCGCGUGCGGGAAGAAGGCCUUCGGGUUGUAAACCGCUUUUGUUCGGGAAGAACUCCUCUGGGCUAAUACCCCGGGGGGAUGACGGUACCGGAAGAAUAAGCACCGGCUAACUACGUG